AUUUCUUUCGAAUAACCAUUUUUAGAGUAUGUGAUUGAAAAAUAGCCCGAUAUUGAAAAGUCUUUAAAAAAAGAUUAAAUUACCCCACGCUUAACAAAGGCAGAGGUAAACUUUUUUAGCACUUAUUUAGGCAUUUCUUGUUCCGAUAACCCUAACCAUUUCCCUUUUCUUUUUUUUUUUUUUGCCCAAAACCACCAUGGCAUGCCAAUUUUGCUCUUCAUUUAAUGGUGAUACGGAAUGCCAAGGACUUGAAUGCGCUUUCCAACGAUAUUUAACUCCCGAAAUGCUUGAGAUGGAGCAUUUUCGUAAUCUGUUCGAGUCUGUUUUUUUGAAGUUUGGAGGGAUCGGUAAUCUUUAGGACCAUCUCAUUUUUUAUGUACCUGAGGUGGAGAGGUCGCUUUUCCUUCAUGCCCGCUUCAUAGAGGCCGAGAGCUUCCGCUCUGAGCCUUGAUUGGGUGCUGUGUACGAAAUUAUUCAGUUCAAAGCUGAAAACAGAGCACUUAAACAGGCAUUGACACGGAACACAAAUGUGUUCAAACAGAUUUCAGAGGCCUCAGAUGGAUUCAUUAGAGUUUUGGCAGCAGUCCAACAAUGGGUAGAAAGAGUUAGGCGUCUUUGGGUUAAUAGGGAGAAUUCGGUUAGAGACGAUUAGCCCAUCAUCAACAAAGUAUAGGAUGCAAACAACUAGAGUAUGUUCUGGAGAGGAUUAUUGGCUCUGUUAACGUACAAUAGUGUUAUUUAGAAGUGUUAAUUAGUAAGCUCUUGAAGUCCCUAUAUUUUUCAUGCCAAUUCGCAAUAUUCUGUAAAUUUUAUAACAUACAGUAGUGCAAUGUAGAGAAGAAAAAAGUAGUGACACUCGUCUGUCUUAUGAUUCUUUGAUGAGCUAUUAGUAUCCUUACACCUUUUAUAGCGUCUUUUUGAGGGGUGAUUUUCAUGAGACAUGAUGAACUCGCUUUGCUAGUUGAUGCGUGUCAUACUAAUUAAUAAUGUCACGCAUAUAGAUAGCUGCAUACAUUUCCGAUGUUUCUUGUAUCCUUGGUAUAGUUAUUGAUUGUGUAUUCUGCAUUACCAGGAUUAAUCUUGAA